GACGAACGCUGGCGGCGUGCCUAAUACAUGCAAGUAGAACGCUGAAGGAGGAGCUUGCUUCUCUGGAUGAGUUGCGAACGGGUGAGUAACGCGUAGGUAACCUGCCUGGUAGCGGGGGAUAACUAUUGGAAACGAUAGCUAAUACCGCAUAAGAGUAGAUGUUGCAUGACAUUUGCUUAAAAGGUGCAAUUGCAUCACUACCAGAUGGACCUGCGUUGUAUUAGCUAGUUGGUGAGGUAACGGCUCACCAAGGCGACGAUACAUAGCCGACCUGAGAGGGUGAUCGGCCACACUGGGACUGAGACACGGCCCAGACUCCUACGGGGGGCAGCAGUAGGGAAUCUUCGGCAAUGGACGGAAGUCUGACCGAGCAACGCCGCGUGAGUGAAGAAGGUUUUCGGAUCGUAAAGCUCUGUUGUAAGAGAAGAACGAGUGUGAGAGUGGAAAGUUCACACUGUGACGGUAUCUUACCAGAAAGGGACGGCUAACUACGUG
rnacentral:rRNA from 1 species